CAAAGUAGAACCACCCGAUCCCAUCUCGAACUCGAACGUGAAAUGCUUUAGCGCCUAUGGUACUGCAUCUUAAGGUGUGGGAGAGUCGGUCGUUGCCAAGC
rnacentral:rRNA from 1 species